rnacentral:rRNA from 1 species
GACGAACGCUGGCGGCGUGCUUAACACAUGCAAGUCGAACGGAAAGGCCCUGCUUUUGUGGGGUGCUCGAGUGGCGAACGGGUGAGUAACACGUGAGUAACCUGCCCUUGACUUUGGGAUAACUUCAGGAAACUGGGGCUAAUACCGGAUAGGAGCUCCUGCUGCAUGGUGGGGGUUGGAAAGUUUCGGCGGUUGGGGAUGGACUCGCGGCUUAUCAGCUUGUUGGUGGGGUAGUGGCUUACCAAGGCUUUGACGGGUAGCCGGCCUGGGAGGGUGACCGGCCACCUUGGGACUGGGGUACGGCCCCGACUCCUACGGGAGGCAACAGUGGGGAAUAUUGCACAAUGGGCGGAAGCCUGAUGCCACAACGCCGCGUGCGGGAUGACGGCCUUCGGGUUGUAAACCGCUUUCGCCUGUGACGAAGCGUGAGUGACGGUAAUGGGUAAAGAAGCACCGGCUAACUACGUG